rnacentral:rRNA from 1 species
UACGUAGGGUGCAAGCGUUACUCGGAAUUACUGGGCGUAAAGCGUGCGUAGGUGGUUCGUUAAGUCUGUCGUGAAAGCCCCGGGCUCAACCUGGGAAUGGCGAUGGAUACUGGCGAGCUAGAGUGCGGUAGAGGAGAGUGGAAUUCCCGGUGUAGCAGUGAAAUGCGUAGAGAUCGGGAGGAACAUCAGUUGCGAAGGCGGCUCUCUGGACCAGCACUGACACUGAGGCACGAAAGCGUGGGGAGCAAACAGG